CAUGCAGACUGUAAUAGUUUUACUGUGACAUCAUUAGUUUUACUGUCACAAAACAGCACAGGUGGGGGAUAUUUGAAGUAGCCAGUUGUUGCUGGAGGGAGAAGGAGCCAGUCAGAGCGCACGACGAGACGUGGCCGGUAGCAAUCAGUCAACGAGGGUAAUAUCCCGGUGUGAGCCAGCGCACGGGCAUACAGAGCGAGAGGAGGGCACCCGUCCCGGACACUUUACAUUAGGCUGGCUACCUCCUGUGUUACAAAUUCAUAUAUGAAGAAAAGCAAUCAGGUGGUCCUGAAUGGAAAUUUGUAGAAUUUCUUUACAACUGCAAAAAGGCGAAUAAAACGGUUCCAUGACUUUAUGGAGACAUUUUCAUUUGUAAUUCCGGAGAUUUUUCUUCCCAUUCUUUCCAAGAAGUGACGCAACAUCAACACUCCCAGUAAACUGGACACAGGAAUAUUUGUUGUGUUACAAGAGCUACGCCAGAGCACCCAGACAGACCAAGUCUCAACGAACAGGUUACUGAUUACAUGGUUUUAUUAUGGGUUUUCAUUGAGCUAUUGUAAAUGAAGAUGAAAACCAUUGAGGGUUAGAGACGGUGAGUCCAUCCUGCUCUUUUGCUCUUUACAUCUUACAUUCUCAGAAUGUCCACAAGACAAGACCUACCUGCAUACAUCAUCAGAGCAUCUGUUUUCACAAAGGAGAUCUGAAGUCAUGGUUGUAUCUCUGUUUAUGCUGAUUGUUGGUUGGUCUGUAUUGUCAUGUUAUUACCAGGUUGGCAAGGACACAGGAGAGGCCUCAUGGGAGGAACAAAACGGGAUAAGAAACCAGACGGGAUAAGAAACCAGACGGGAUAAGAAACCAGACGGGAUAAGAAAUGUGACGACUGACUGAGCAAAAGAAGAAUACGUCAGAGAAAGAAGGAAAGAGAGAAGGAUUGUGUGUUCUCUACUUUCUCAGAAGUGCAGCCCCUAAAUUCCUGUUACUAUGCCUGAGAGAGGGAGCGCAGCAGACCAGUCAAAAUGAACCCCUACGUCACCUCUCACUUUAGGAGGGAUCUCUUUCCCCACUUCCACUUGUUGUAGAGGCUUCUCUUCUCCCCUCUCUUACUGUUUGUGUGACAUGACAACACCUGUCUCUGUGUAAACCUAAGACAGUAGGUAACACCUGUCUCUGUGUAAACCUAGGACAGUAGGUAACACCUGUCUCUGUGUAAACCUAGGAC
ensembl:lncRNA